GCUUACGGCCAUACCACCUUAGGCACGCCCGAUCUCGUCUGAUCUUGGAAGCUAAGCAGGGUCGGGCCUGGUUAGUACUUGGAUGGGUGACAGCCUGGGAAUACCAGGUGCUGUAAGCA
rnacentral:rRNA from 1 species